GAUGAACGCUGGCGGCGUGCCUAAUACAUGCAAGUCGAGCGAACAGACGAGGAGCUUGCUCCUCUGACGUUAGCGGCGGACGGGUGAGUAACGCGUGGAUAACCUACCUAUAAGACUGGGAUAACUUCGGGAAACCGGAGCUAAUACCGGAUAAUAUAUUGAACCGCAUGGUUCAAUAGUGAAAGACGGUUUUGCUGUCACUUAUAGAUGGAUCCGCGCCGCAUUAGCUAGUUGGUAAGGUAACGGCUUACCAAGGCAACGAUGCGUAGCCGACCUGAGAGGGUGAUCGGCCACACUGGAACUGAGACACGGUCCAGACUCCUACGGGAGGCAGCAGUAGGGAAUCUUCCGCAAUGGGCGAAAGCUUGACGGAGCAACGCCGCGCGAGUGAUGAAGGUCUUCGGAUCGUAAAACUCUGUUAUUAGGGAAGAACAAAUGUGUAAGUAACUAUGCACGUCUUGACGGUACCUAAUCAGAAAGCCACGGCUAACUACGUG
rnacentral:rRNA from 1 species